rnacentral:ncRNA from 1 species
AUUGUAUAAGGGCAAACCUGACUGAAAAGCAGGGACGCAAAGUCACAGGUCUAAGGUUUCCUUACUAUGACAGCUGGACUGCCGAC